UUAAGCGACUAAGCGUACACGGUGGAUGCCCUGGCAGUCAGAGGCGAUGAAGGACGUGCUAAUCUGCGAAAAGCGUCGGUAAGGUGAUAUGAACCGUUAUAACCGGCGAUGUCCGAAUGGGGAAACCCAGUGUGAUUCGUCACACUAUCGUUAACUGAAUACAUAGGUUAACGAGGCGAACCGGGGGAACUGAAACAUCUAAGUACCCCGAGGAAAAGAAAUCAACCGAGAUUCCCCCAGUAGCGGCGAGCGAACGGGGAGCAGCCCAGAGUCUGAAUCAGCUUGUGUGUUAGUGGAACGGUCUGGAAAGUCCGACGGUACAGGGUGAUAGUCCCGUACACCAAAAUGCACAGGUUGUGAACUCGAAGAGUAGGGCGGGACACGUGGUAUCCUGUCUGAAUAUGGGGGGACCAUCCUCCAAGGCUAAAUACUCCUGACUGACCGAUAGUGAACCAGUACCGUGAGGGAAAGGCGAAAAGAACCCCGGCGAGGGGAGUGAAAAAGAACCUGAAACCGUGUACGUACAAGCAGUGGGAGCACCUUCGGGUGUGACUGCGUACCUUUUGUAUAAUGGGUCAGCGACUUAUAUUCUGUAGCAAGGUUAACCGUAUAGGGGAGCCGCAGGGAAACCGAGUCUUAACUGGGCGUUAAGUUGCAGGGUAUAGACCCGAAACCCGGUGAUCUAGCCAUGGGCAGGUUGAAGGUUGGGUAACACUAACUGGAGGACCGAACCGACUAAUGUUGAAAAAUUAGCGGAUGACUUGUGGCUGGGGGUGAAAGGCCAAUCAAACCGGGAGAUAGCUGGUUCUCCCCGAAAGCUAUUUAGGUAGCGCCUCGUGAAUUCAUCUUCGGGGGUAGAGCACUGUUUCGGCUAGGGGGUCAUCCCGACUUACCAACCCGAUGCAAACUACGAAUACCGAAGAAUGUUAUCACGGGAGACACACGGCGGGUGCUAACGUCCGUCGUGAAGAGGGAAACAACCCAGACCGCCAGCUAAGGUCCCAAAGUCAUGGUUAAGUGGGAAACGAUGUGGGAAGGCACAGACAGCCAGGAUGUUGGCUUAGAAGCAGCCAUCAUUUAAAGAAAGCGUAAUAGCUCACUGGUCGAGUCGGCCUGCGCGGAAGAUGUAACGGGGCUAAACCAUGCACCGAAGCUGCGGCAGCGACACUAUGUGUUGUUGGGUAGGGGAGCGUUCUGUAAGCCUGCGAAGGUGACCUGUGAGGGUUGCUGGAGGUAUCAGAAGUGCGAAUGCUGACAUAAGUAACGAUAAAGCGGGUGAAAAGCCCGCUCGCCGGAAGACCAAGGGUUCCUGUCCAACGUUAAUCGGGGCAGGGUGAGUCGACCCCUAAGGCGAGGCCGAAAGGCGUAGUCGAUGGGAAACAGGUUAAUAUUCCUGUACUUGGUGUUACUGCGAAGGGGGGACGGAGAAGGCUAUGUUAGCCGGGCGACGGUUGUCCCGGUUUAAGCAUGUAGGCUGAUUAUCCAGGCAAAUCCGGAUAAUCAAGGCUGAGGUGUGAUGACGAGGCACUACGGUGCUGAAGUAACAAAUGCCCUGCUUCCAGGAAAAGCCUCUAAGCAUCAGGUAACAUCAAAUCGUACCCCAAACCGACACAGGUGGUCAGGUAGAGAAUACCAAGGCGCUUGAGAGAACUCGGGUGAAGGAACUAGGCAAAAUGGUGCCGUAACUUCGGGAGAAGGCACGCUGGUGUGUAGGUGAAGCCCCUGCGGGUGGAGCUGAGACCAGUCGAAGAUACCAGCUGGCUGCAACUGUUUAUUAAAAACACAGCACUGUGCAAACACGAAAGUGGACGUAUACGGUGUGACGCCUGCCCGGUGCCGGAAGGUUAAUUGAUGGGGUUAUCCGUAAGGAGAAGCUCUUGAUCGAAGCCCCGGUAAACGGCGGCCGUAACUAUAACGGUCCUAAGGUAGCGAAAUUCCUUGUCGGGUAAGUUCCGACCUGCACGAAUGGCGUAAUGAUGGCCAGGCUGUCUCCACCCGAGACUCAGUGAAAUUGAACUCGCUGUGAAGAUGCAGUGUACCCGCGGCAAGACGGAAAGACCCCGUGAACCUUUACUAUAGCUUGACACUGAACAUUGAGCCUUGAUGUGUAGGAUAGGUGGGAGGCUUUGAAGCGUGGACGCCAGUCUGCGUGGAGCCAACCUUGAAAUACCACCCUUUAAUGUUUGAUGUUCUAACGUUGGCCCCUGACCGGGGUUGCGGACAGUGUCUGGUGGGUAGUUUGACUGGGGCGGUCUCCUCCCAAAGCGUAACGGAGGAGCACGAAGGUUAGCUAAUCCUGGUCGGACAUCAGGAGGUUAGUGCAAUGGCAUAAGCUAGCUUGACUGCGAGCGUGACGGCGCGAGCAGGUGCGAAAGCAGGUCAUAGUGAUCCGGUGGUUCUGAAUGGAAGGGCCAUCGCUCAACGGAUAAAAGGUACUCCGGGGAUAACAGGCUGAUACCGCCCAAGAGUUCAUAUCGACGGCGGUGUUUGGCACCUCGAUGUCGGCUCAUCACAUCCUGGGGCUGAAGUAGGUCCCAAGGGUAUGGCUGUUCGCCAUUUAAAGUGGUACGCGAGCUGGGUUUAGAACGUCGUGAGACAGUUCGGUCCCUAUCUGCCGUGGGCGCUGGAGAAUUGAGGGGGGCUGCUCCUAGUACGAGAGGACCGGAGUGGACGCAUCACUGGUGUUCGGGUUGUCAUGCCAAUGGCACUGCCCGGUAGCUAAAUGCGGAAGAGAUAAGUGCUGAAAGCAUCUAAGCACGAAACUUGCCCCGAGAUGAGUUCUCCCUGAGACUUUAAGUCUCCUGAAGGAACGUUGAAGACGACGACGUUGAUAGGCCGGGUGUGUAAGCGCAGCGAUGCGUUGAGCUAACCGGUACUAAUGAACCGUGAGGCUUAACCUU
rnacentral:rRNA from 1 species